UAGGGAAUCUUCCGCAAUGGGCGAAAGCCUGACGGAGCAACGCCGCGUGAGUGAUGAAGGUCUUCGGAUCGUAAAACUCUUUUAUUAGGGAAGAACAAAUGUGUAAGUAACUAUGCACGUCUUGACGGUACCUAAUCAGAAAGCCACGGCUAACUACGUGCCAGCAGCCGCGGUAAUACGUUGGUGGCAAGCGUUAUCCGGAAUUAUUGGGCGUAAAGCGCGCGUAGGCGGUUUUUUAAGUCUGAUGUGAAAGCCAACGGCUCAACCGUGGAGGGGCAUUGGAAACUGGAAAACUUGAGUGCAGAAGAGGAAAAUGGAAUUCCAUGUGGAGCGGUGAAAUGCGCAGAGAUAUGGGGGAACACCAGUGGCGAAGGCAACUUUCUGGUCUGUAACUGACGCUGAUGUGCGAAAGCGUGGGGAUCAAACAGG
rnacentral:rRNA from 1 species